UUGGAGGGCAAGUCUGGUGCCAGCAGCCGCGGUAAUUCCAGCUCCAAUAGCGUAUAUUAAAGUUGUUGCAGUUAAAAAGCUCGUAGUUGAAUUUCGGGAUCAAUGUUUCGGUCAUGCCGUUGGUAUGUACUGAUAUUAUUGAUUUCUCACCUUCUAAAGAACCGUAAUGCCAUUAAUUUGGUGUCACGGGGAAUUAGGACUGUUACCUUGAAAAGAUUAGAGUGUUUAAAGCAGGCUCACGCUUGAAUACAUUAGCAUGGAAUAAUGAAAUAGGACAUCCGAUUCUAUUUUGUUGGUUUCUAGGAUCGAUGUAAUGAUUAAUAGGGAUAGUUGGGGGCAUUAGUAUUCAAUUGUCAGAGGUGAAAUUCUUGGAUUUAUUGAGGACUAACUACUGCGAAAGCAUUUGCCAAGGAUGUUUUCAUUAAUCAAGAACGAAAGUUAGGGGAUCGAAGACGAUCAGAUACCGUCGUAGUCUUAACCAUAAACUAUGCCGACUAGGGAUCGGAUGAUGUUAAUUUUUUAAUGACCCAUUCGGCGCCUUACGGGAAACCAAAGUGUUUGGGUUC
rnacentral:rRNA from 1 species